UACAGAGGGGGCAAGCGUUGUCCGGAUUUACUGGGCGUACAGCGCGCGCAGGCGGUUGCGUAUGUGAGCGGUGACAUCCGCGGGCUCAACCCGCGGCGGCCCGCUUACACAGCGCGACUGGAGGCAGGGAGAGGGAUGUGGAAUACCCGGUGGAGCGGUGAAAUGCGCAGAUAUCGGGAGGAACACCAAUUGCGAAGGCAGCUCGCUGGGACGUAACUGACGCUGAGACGCGAAAGCGUGGGGAGCAAACAGG
rnacentral:rRNA from 1 species